rnacentral:tRNA from 1 species
AAUGAUAUAACUUAAUUAGGUAAAGUGAAUAAUUGCAGAUUAUUUUAUUUCAGUUCAAAUCUGAAUGUCAUUU